rnacentral:lncRNA from 1 species
GUGAACUGUCACCCCUACAACUCAGCUUGCAACCAGCCCUGGCCACCACCAGUUUCCCCACACUGAGCUGAAUAUUGGACAUGCCCAUCUUAGACAUUCCAGCCCAUUCUGAAAUUUCACAUCGAUUCACCCAACAAAGUCUGAAGUUCCAGGGCAAUUUAUCUGGAAAAGCUCACCUGGAAUCAUGUGUCAUUUCAACCAACAACUGUUGAAGAGGACGUGGCAUUAAAACCAAGGUUAUCAAUUAUUUAUAA